AAGGNCUUCGGGUUGUAAAGCACUUUCAGUUGUGAGGAAGGUGGUGUCGUUAAUAGCGGCAUCAUUUGACGUUAGCAACAGAAGAAGCACCGGCUAACUCCGUGCCAGCAGCCGCGGUAAUACGGAGGGUGCGAGCGUUAAUCGGAAUUACUGGGCGUAAAGCGCAUGCAGGUGGUUUGUUAAGUCAGAUGUGAAAGCCCGGGGCUCAACCUCGGAACUGCAUUUGAAACUGGCAGACUAGAGUACUGUAGAGGGGGGUAGAAUUUCAGGUGUAGCGGUGAAAUGCGUAGAGAUCUGAAGGAAUACCGGUGGCGAANGCGGCCCCCUGGACAGAUACUGACACUCAGAUGCGAAAGCGUGGGGAGCAAACAGGAUUAGAUACCCUGGUAGUCCACGCUGUAAACGAUGUCUACUUGGAGGUUGUGGCCUUGAGCCGUGGCUUUCGGAGCUAACGCGUUAAGUAGACCGCCUGGGGAGUACGGUCGCAAGAUUAAAACU
rnacentral:rRNA from 1 species